rnacentral:rRNA from 1 species
AUUGAACGCUGGCGGCAGGCUUAACACAUGCAAGUCGAGCGAGCGGCGGACGGGUGAGUAAUGUCUGGGAAACUGCCUGAUGGAGGGGGAUAACUACUGGAAACGGUAGCUAAUACCGCAUACCAUCAGAUGUGCCCAGAUGGGAUUGGCUCGCAGGUGGGGUAAUGGCUCACCUAGGCGACCAUACCUAGCUGGUCUGAGAGGAUGACCAGAGACACUGAGAAUGAGACACGGUCCAGACUCUUACGGAAGGAAGCAGUGGGGAAUAUUGAACAAUGGGCGCAAGCAUGAUGCAGCCAUGCCGCGUGUGUGAAGAAGGCAUUCGGGUUGUAAAGCACUUUCAUCGAGGAGGCGUUACUCGCAGAAGAAGCACCGGCUAACUCCGUGCCAGCAGGAGCGGUAAUAC